UACGAAGGGGGCUAGCGUUGUUCGGAAUUACUGGGCGUAAAGCGCACGUAGGCGGAUCGAUCAGUUAGGGGUGAAAUCCCAGGGCUCAACCCUGGAACUGCCUCUAAUACUGUCGAUCUCGAGUUCGAGAGAGGUGAGUGGAAUUCCGAGUGUAGAGGUGAAAUUCGUAGAUAUUCGGAGGAACACCAGUGGCGAAGGCGGCUCACUGGCUCGAUACUGACGCUGAGGUGCGAAAGCGUGGGGAGCAAACAGG
rnacentral:rRNA from 1 species